ensembl:snRNA U6 U6 spliceosomal RNA
GUGCUCACUUUAGUAGAACAUAUACUAAAAUUGGAAUGAUACAGAGAUGAUUAGCAUGGCCCCUGUGCAAGGAUGCCAUGCAAAUUCGUGAAGCAUUCCAUAUUUUA